UACAGAGGUCCCGAGCGUUGUUCGGAUUCACUGGGCGUAAAGGGUGCGUAGGUGGCAUAGAAAGUUUGAUGUGAAAGCUCAGGGCUUAACCCUGAAAUGGCAUUGAAUACUGCUGUGCUGGAGGUUUGGAGGGGGGACUGGAAUUCUUGGUGUAGCAGUGAAAUGCGUAGAUAUCAAGUGGAACACCAGUGGCGAAGGCGAGUCUCUGGACAUUUCCUGACGCUGAGGCACGAAAGCCAGGGGAGCAAACGGG
rnacentral:rRNA from 1 species